UGUUUUUUUACGUUUUUGGUAUCACGUUUUAUGCAUUUCGAAUGAGAUUUUAAUGAAUGUAAAUCUUUUAGCCAACUGAAAAUUGAAGUAGAUAAAACCAGGAUACGAAUAUAUCAAUCUAAUGAUAAAAUCACAAAUAAAGGGGCCUCAAAGAUUACUGUCACAAGAGAAAUGAUUGGAUAUAGAUUUCAAAACUUUACUGAAGAGGAAUUUGAAACUAUGAAUAAGACAAGUCAACAUGCGAAGACAAAAUAUGAAAGAUCCAAAAAAUCAAUUAAAAUAUAAGUUUGCCUUUCCUUGUACAU